rnacentral:tRNA from 1 species
GUGGGUGUAGCUCAGUUGGCAGAGCACUGGGUUGUGAUCCCAGGUGUCGCGGGUUCAAAUCCCGUCACUCACCCGA